CCUACGGGAGGCUGCAGUGGGGAAUAUUGCGCAAUGGGCGAAAGCCUGACGCAGCGACGCCGCGUGAGUGAUGAAGGUCUUCGUAUCGUAAACCUCUGUCAGCAGGGAAGAACAGUCCCUGUGCUGAUCAGCAGUGAAUUGACGGUACCUUGCCAGGAGCCACCGGCUAACUCCGUGCCAGCAGCCGCGGUAAUACGGAGGGGGCGAGCGUUAUUCGGAUUUACUGGGCGAAAAGCGAUCGUAGGCGGUACGUCAAGGCAAGGGUGAAAUCUCCGCGCUUAACGGGGGAACUGCCUUUGAAACUGGCAAACUAGAGUGUGUGAGAGGAAAGCGGAAUUCCAGGUGUAGGAGUGAAAUCCGUAGAUAUUAGGAGGAACAUCAGUGGCGAAGGCGACUAUCUGGCCCAUAACUGACGUUGAGGAGCGAAAGCGUGGGUAGCAAACAGGAUUAGAUACCCGGGUAGUC
rnacentral:rRNA from 1 species